rnacentral:misc_RNA from 1 species
GUGAAAGAAGCUAUCAUUUUCUUGAUUCUCCGAUGGGUUGUUGUGUAAGCACUCAUGGCCAUGGAACUUCAACAAAGAGCCAGAAUUUUCAAGUGGGAUCUGAGUCUUUGAAACCCAAGUCAACUCGUGAAAGUAGAGCUCCUUCCCCUUCUGUUGAAGAAGAAACAGUCAAAGAAGUCCUUUCUGAAACUCCCAAACUCAAACCAUCAUCAUCACCACCACCGCUAAAACUACCCCAACUUCUAAAGCCAAUCAAGAAUCCACUACAGGAACUCCAACAUCAAGAAACUAAAAAGAAGAAAAUCCACAUUGAACCACCAUUUCUUGAUGAGAAGAUCGAACCAAAUAGGCACAAGAAUGAACUCAUUUUCCAAGAAGAAGAGAUCGCUGAACAACAAUCGUCAGAAGUCUGCAGUUUGAGUUUCAGCGAGACUGUGUCAACUACGACCUUCAACAAUGACAAAAGGGAUGACGACGACGAUGAUGAUGGCGAGGAAGUGAAGCAAAGAGUAAAGAAAUCUCCAGUAGCGAAACUGGCUCCAAGAAACAGGGCAGUCGUGGGCGAUUUUGGCCCCAAGCGAGACAGGGUUGUGGGGAAGUCACCCAACAGUAGAACGGAUCAGUCACCGGAAAAAAGAAACAAUGCGGGUCGUGGAGGUUCAGUGAGGUUGGUUCAAAACAAGGAAUC